UCGAGGAUCUUCGGCAAUGGGCGCAAGCCUGACCGAGCGACGCCGCGUGUGGGAUGAAGGCCUUCGGGUUGUAAACCACUGUCGGGGGGGAUGAAAUACUUAAGGGUUCUCCCUUAGGCUUGACAUAUCCUCGGAGGAAGGACGGGCUAAGUUCGUGCCAGCAGCCGCGGUAAGACGAACCGUCCAAACGUUAUUCGGAAUUACUGGGCUUAAAGGGUGCGUAGGCGGCGCGGAAAGUAGGGUGUGAAAUCCCUCGGCUUAACCGAGGAAUGGCGCUCUAAACUACCGUGCUCGAGGAAGAUAGAGGAGAGCGGAACUUAGGGUGGAGCGGUGAAAUGCGUUGAUAUCCUAAGGAACACCGGUGGCGAAGGCGGCUCUCUGGAUCUUUUCUGACGCUGAGGCACGAAAGCUAGGGGAGCGAACGGGAUUAGAUACCCCCGUAGUCC
rnacentral:rRNA from 1 species